CAGCUGCUGGUGUUUCUGCUGUUCCUCUGUGUGAUCGACCUCCUCACAAUUUUUCUCACACCCUAGCCUGGUCCCCCAUCUUAACUCUGAGAUGUUGGAGAGUACAUUGAAGGCCCAGGGUUCCUGUGCUCUGCUACUCAUCCUUUAUCAAGCUCUUUAUGGAUGGCCAGACUUCUUUCCCUGUGACCGAGCACCCAACUGAUGAGAUGGACCCCUCCCAGAUUCUGACCCGGACCCAGUAGGUACUUCUGAAGACGCUCUGACAUCCCCAACCUCACUGUCUCAACAUCAGCUGAACCAGG